GCCCGGGCCCGGGAGCCUCCCCGCUUACCGCACUAGGAAGUGACGCUUUCCCUGAGUCCCGGAGAGAAAGAAACAAAGUUUUUUUGGUGGUUUUUUUUUCUUCUUUCCGUUUUUUCUCUCGCUCGGUGGUCUUUCCUUCUGCGUUUACUCUUUGCAAUCUGCAGCCCCGGAGGCUCCCGCCGUACCUCGCAGCGCAGCAACUGAAAAGGACUGAUUCUUUGCAGUUUACCAGUCAGAGCUGACAAUACACCCACGCACGUAUGUGAGUGUCUUAUAUAAUACUUACGGUUUUUUCACCAGGCAUAAGCGAGGUUUAUUUUUGGUUUCUAAAGUCUUGUGUGAUUGCAGCCUUCAGAAUUCAAGAAAUAUUCUCUCUGCUCGACAGAGAUUUAACUUGGCAGCCUCUUUAAAACAAAUAAAUCAUCAUGGCUGUUACCAGAAAGAAGCUGUUUUCAUCUCGAGUUUGAGUGCGGUGGAAGGGCUGUCUGGAGAGAGCAGCAGGCAGUCAAGGGAGGGAAAGAGCGAAAAGAAAUGUCCUAAUGCAGAGACUGGUAUUAGGUUGUUUGGAGGGCGAGACUGCAGUUCCAGGCAGCAACAGCAGCAGCUUUAUGACUGUGUGUAAUUACAGAGUGAUUGCAUAGGACAGCAUUGUUGGAACGAAUACGUAUGCAUGGGCCAUUGUGCAAGAUUUCUGUACUGAACAAAACGUAGAUUUGCAUUGCAAAUGCUAAAAUGAGAAUUUAUUUUGUAUUGAACUGCCAUGUUCCUCUUUGACUUCGCUGAAAAAUUAGGAGGGGGAAAAAGGAGAAGCGGAGUGAGGCUGAUCGUAGAAGUCACAGCUCUGAAAUACUCAGCAGAAUUGCCACCUGUAGUGCCUGCAAUCUCAGGGGACACAGCAAGCUGGUUGAAUCUGUGGGUUCUCUUCUGAAGUGAUUAUGCAGAAAGUGAAAAUCAGUCCGGUUUGCUAGUAGUCCUGCAGGUUUUGUGCAAUUCCUGAUGUCAUCUUUUUUUCUUGUUUGCUGGUGCGGGGAAAAAAACCUCUGUGCUGAGUUCAGCUGUCUUGUGUGGAAAUGGAGAGAAGAGCACUGAGUUUCUGUGUCAGACCACAAAAAAAUCACGAGGUUAAAAGCAAAGCUAGACUGAACAUAAGUUCUGAACAUGCUGUUUCAACUUAACUGGUUUCUAUGAAGCGUUGCAUACUGCUUGGUGAUCUUGCUGGCAGUGAAAGCUGAUAGAUAGGACAAGGUGGUGGGAGUGUGCCACAAACUCUGCAAAAGCAAGGUUUUGGCUGAGACUUUGAAAGAUCAUCAAAAUGAUGGGCAAAGUCAUUGUGGAUACAAAUAAGAGUACCUAAGAUUGUUUUUUCAGAGGUGAUGGUUACCUGUAACUUCCAUCAGGUUAAUUUUGUUUUGGAAGUCCUUGGAAUUUGUGUAACAUCUGACCCAAAAGAUUUCAGAUCUGGUAUUCAGAAAUUUGCCUUUCCAGGAUUAGAGAAGAUUUUCUGAAAAAUGUUGUCUUUAACAGUCAUUGCUGAGGAUGUAAUGAAUGCAGGGAAGGCUUGUUUUGAGCACUACGAUGGAAAGUGCUAUUAAAAAAAAAUGGAAAGUUGCUUUAAAAUUUCUUGGUAUUCCAUUAGAACAUGCUAUUUCAGUUAAACACACAGAUUGUCUUAUUGUUGUUAGUUUCCUCAGGCUGCCAACUAAGUGCUUUUUGUAAAAUAUAUGUAACUUUGCUAAUGAAGAGUAUAAUGAUGUGCUGGAGCUGUUUGUUUUGCUUUGCUGUGUUUUUUUUUUUUUUCUUCUUCUUCUCUCUAGCAUGUGGCUAAUUAACCACAACACUGGACUUAUCACUUGACAAAUUUAGUUUCAUAAUGAUCCUUCUGUAACUUUAGUGGAGCAUUUUAUUUUAAUGCAAAACAAGCAAAUAGCAAACAUCUUUUAAUCCUUGCAUUACCAUGGCAUUCUGUUUGUAGAUUUUUCUUUCUAUUGUUCUUCACGUCUUGACUGGCUUUAUAUAUAUGUCAUCCUUGGUAUUCUAAUAUCAAUGGCUUCUGGGGAAAACCCAGAAUUGCGCUUAAGUAUUCCUUAAAUCAUUUGUGGUUGUGGUGCAAUUCAGUCAUUCCUUAUGUUAGCUUUUGCUUUCCACAGUUUAAGUGGUUUGAGAAAAUAUUUCCGGCCAGGAUUCUUUGGACUUGUAUACAAACGAGGAGAUAACUUUUACAUCUGUGAGUUGUCCUGUGGUACUCAGGGGAAUUAGUCAUAGACAUGUUUAUUGCCUACUUGCAAAAGGAAGCUUAGCCAUGCUAGCCUUUACCCCCACCAAGGUGCAUGAGAACAGCGGUGAUAAGAAAUGAUGAGGUGUGUAGCACAGUAAGAGCCUUCCAAGAGCCUACGCACUCAUUCCAGAGGUGAAAUUAUGCUUCUGCAUUUUCAUUCUUAUUGUCAUCCAAAUGUGGUAGCUGCGGAACUGCAGAUAUUUCAAGCCUAUGAUGCUACUCUGUCAAGCUACUGGGCAGUCCUUCAAGGCGCCUCAGUGGAGGGCCUCUACCACUCAUUGGAAGCAGCCA
ensembl:lncRNA